rnacentral:rRNA from 1 species
GCAUGUGGUUUAAUUNGAAGCAACGCGAAGAACCUUACCAGGUCUUGACAUCCUCUNACAACCCUAGAGAUAGGGCUUUCCCUUCGGGGACAGAGUGACAGGUGGUGCAUGGUUGUCGUCAGCUCGUGUCGUGAGAUGUUGGGUUAAGUCCCGCAACGAGCGCAACCCUUGAUCUUAGUUGCCAGCAUUNAGUUGGGCACUCUAAGGUGACUGCCGGUGACAAACCGGAGGAAGGUGGGGAUGACGUCAAAUCAUCAUGCCCCUUAUGACCUGGGCUACACACGUGCUACAAUGGACAGAACAAAGGGCUGCGAGACCGCAAGGUUUAGCCAAUCCCACAAAUCUGUUCUCAGUUCGGAUCGCAGUCUGCAACUCGACUGCGUGAAGCUGGAAUCGCUAGUAAUCGCGGAUCAGCAUGCCGCGGUGAAUACGUUCCCGGGCCUUGUACACACCGCCCGUCACACCACGAGAGUUUGCAACACCCGAAGUCGGUGAGGUA